UACGUAGGGGGCAAGCGUUGUCCGGAAUCAUUGGGCGUAAAGAGCGUGUAGGCGGCCAAGUAAGUCUGCUGUGAAAACUCGAGGCUUAACCUCGAGCUGUCGGCGGAAACUAUUUGGCUAGAGUCCGGAAGAGGAGAAUGGAAUUCCCGGUGUAGCGGUGAAAUGCGCAGAUAUCGGGAAGAACACCCGUGGCGAAGGCGGUUCUCUGGGACGGUACUGACGCUGAGACGCGAAAGCGUGGGGAGCGAACAGG
rnacentral:rRNA from 1 species